AUUGAACGCUGGCGGCAGGCCUAACACAUGCAAGUCGAACGAGUGGCGGACGGGUGAGUAAUGUCUGGGAAACUGACUGAGGGAGGGGGAUAACUACUGGAAACGGUAGCUAAUACCGCAUACCCUCGGAUGUGCCCAAAUGGGAUUAGCUAGUAGGUGGGGUAAAGGCUCACCUAGGCGACGAUCCCUAGCUGGUCUGAGAGGAUGUCCAGCCACACUGUCUCAGGCAAAACGUCCCGUCUCCUACUGGAGGCAGCAGUCGGUAACAUUGCCCAAUGGCCGCAAGCCGCAUGCAGCCACGUCGCGUGUAUGAAGAAGUCCUUCGUGUUUUAAAGUACUUUCAGAGGAGAGGCGUUACCCGCACACGAAGCUCCGGCUAACUCCGUUCCAGUCGCCGCGGUACUUC
rnacentral:rRNA from 1 species